CCUUGCUUCACUAGGUAGUAUAAUAAACCACUAUAUGAUGGCGGUCUUAAUUAUUUAGAGAAACUCGCUUCAUAAUCGAAAAUACCCGUUAAUUUUUACUUAGUUUUAAAGUAUGUAUACCGCCGUUUAAAAAUUAUAUAAACAUAAAUCUCUUACUCUUUAAAAAUCAACAAUUAGGUCAAGGUGCAACCCACAACAAAGAAGAAGUAAGUUACAUUAAAAACAAUUUAAGAACAUUCUAUAAAAAUACACUAGAAAAAGAAUUUAUAAGUAUAUCUAAAUWAAAAAUUCAGAUAGAAUAAUUAUAUAAAGACGC
rnacentral:rRNA from 1 species